rnacentral:rRNA from 3 species
UAGGGAAUCUUCGGCAAUGGGGGCAACCCUGACCGAGCAACGCCGCGUGAGUGAAGAAGGUUUUCGGAUCGUAAAGCUCUGUUGUAAGUCAAGAACGAGUGUGAGAGUGGAAAGUUCACACUGUGACGGUAGCUUACCAGAAAGGGACGGCUAACUACGUGCCAGCAGCCGCGGUAAUACGUAGGUCCCGAGCGUUGUCCGGAUUUAUUGGGCGUAAAGCGAGCGCAGGCGGUUUGAUAAGUCUGAAGUUAAAGGCUGUGGCUCAACCAUAGUUCGCUUUGGAAACUGUCAAACUUGAGUGCAGAAGGGGAGAGUGGAAUUCCAUGUGUAGCGGUGAAAUGCGUAGAUAUAUGGAGGAACACCGGUGGCGAAAGCGGCUCUCUGGUCUGUAACUGACGCUGAGGCUCGAAAGCGUGGGGAGCGAACA